UUAAAAUUUAACCGAUCUUAAAAGUACUUUUAAGAUCGGUUAUUUUAUGACCAAUCUUAAAAGUACUUUUAAGAUCGAUUAUUUUAUGA
rnacentral:miRNA from 1 species